rnacentral:rRNA from 1 species
GUAGGUGGCAAGCGUUGUCCGGAAUUAUUGGGCGUAAAGCGCGCGCAGGCGGUUCUUUAAGUCUGAUGUGAAAGCCCACGGCUCAACCGUGGAGGGUCAUUGGAAACUGGAGAACUUGGGUACAGAAGAGGAAAGCGGAAUUCCACGUGUAGCGGUGAAAUGCGUAGAGAUGUGGAGGAACACCAGUGGCGAAGGCGGCUUUCUGGUCUGUAACUGACGCUGAGGCGCGAAAGCGUGGGGAGCAAACAGGGAUUAGAUACCCUGGUAGUCCACGCCGUAAACGAUGAGUGCUAAGUGUUAGGGGGUUUCCGCCCCCUUAGUGCUGCAGCUAACGCAUUAAGCACUCCGCCUGGGGAGUACGGCCGCAAGGCUG